ACCUGCUCCACCCCCUCCACCUAACAUACAUAGUACAGUCCAGACAGUUUAUAAAGCAACCUGCUCCACCCCCUCCACCUAACAUACAUAGUACAGUCCAGACAGGUUAUAAUGCUACACCCCACUUCCACUCCUCCUAACAUUGAUAGUACAGUCCAAACAGUUUAUAGAGCUACAUCCCACCUCCCCCCACUUAACAUACAUAGUACAGUCCAGGCAGUUCACAGAGGUACAUUCAACCUCCCCCUCCCAACAUACAUAGUAUAGUCCAGACAGUUUAUAGAGCUACAUUGUAGCAACAGAAAUAACAAUGUUAUGUCCAUAUAUUUAUUUGGGUGCAUAUCUAGGAUAGUGGCCCUGGUUGGAUGGAAUGGUGUGCUGGUGUUGGGUGGGAUGGUGUGCUGGUGGUGGGAUAGUUCACUGGUGUUGUGUGGGAUGGUGUCCUGUUGCUGUGUGGAAUGGUGUCCUGGUGUUGGGUGGGAUGGUGUCCUGGUGUUGGGUGGGUUGGUGUCUUGGUGUUGGGUGGGUGGGAUGGGGUCCUGGUGUUGGGUGGGAUGGGGUCCUGGUGUUGGGUGGGUUGGUGUCCUGGUGUUGGGUGGGUUGGUGUCCUGGUGUUGGGUGGGAUGGUGUCCUGGUGUUGGGUGGGUUGGUGUCCUGGUGUUGGGUGGGUGGGAUGGGGUCCUGGUGUUGGGUGGGUUGGUGUCCUGGUGUUGGGUGGGUGGGAUGGUGUCCUGGUGUUGGGUGGUAUGGUGUCCUGGUGUUGGGUGGUUGGGAUGGUGACCUGGUUUUGGGAGGGUGGUAUGGUGUCCUGGUGUUGGGUGGGUGGGAUAGGGUCCUGGUGUUGGGUGGGAUGGGGUCCUGGUGUUGGGUGGGAUGGUGUCCUGGUGUUGGAUGGUUGGGAUGGUGACCUGGUGUUACCCAGGUCCUAGGUCCUAGGGGGAAUACAUAGGUAUGCUGACUGGUGCGUUAGUCUCUCAGCAUCACAGAGUUAGACACAUUGUAAGGAAUAAUCAACCACAAACACCACCAGGUUCUCAUCCCACCUCUCGACUCUCUUCAAACCCUCCUCUUCUUUUCUUUUGUCUCUCUACUUCUCCUUCUCCAUCCUAUCUCUCUCUUUCUCUCUCUUGGCCAAGAUAGCCCCAACUAGCCCCUCCGUAGCGUCCUACAGCACUGGGAUUUGUUCCCUCCCUCUGCAAGCUACGGGUCAAUAUUACACAGAGGGAAUAUCUCCAUGCGGGCAGCCUGGUCGUAAAGCCGCCUGGUAAUCCUAAUUCAGUCCAAAGAGGAUUAGCUCCACCCCAGCAGAGCCAUUGGCUAAAAUUAGAGCAACACAGUCCCCCCUCUCCCAGUACCCUCCCUCCCGAAAAGGCCCCUCCCCCUCUUUUGCUUAGCCCCACCUUUACAUUCCCCAACCAGCCAAUCACGCGUCUUUAUGGGCUCUGAUGCCAGCAUGACAGACUGGUGCCUGUGUACUGAGUCAAAAAUAAUCUACGAUAAAAUCAUAGAACAAUCUCUGAUCUAAACUGAUGUAAAUAGCGUGUUUGGGUUCAACAUUACAGUCAUAGAAUCUGCUCCCAGUCCUCAGUGAGGGUGUGUGAGGGUGCUGUGUAACAUUCUGUGGGUCUUUGAGGGCUGUGUAUUGCUGUUGCCACUCCACGUCCUCGCCGAAUCUCUGCCCUUCAUCCUCUGGCCACUGUGCUGGGAUUACCGUCCGCGGGCACGCCCAGGGCUCGGGCAUGUGUCUGUCAAUGCAAGGUAUUCUGGCCCAUCUCAUGCAACCAUCCAUCCUAAAAAAAAAAAACUCACAGCUUUUUAGGGGAGAAUAGGAAGCGUUGGAGUGAGAGGACGAUAAUGCAGGAUAAUACAGGGUGAUAACGCAGGGCGAUAAUGCGGGAGGUAAAUACAAAGUGGCGAUGUUGGGUGGUAAUGCAUGAUGUUAUAACAUGAUGAUGAUGCACGGCAGUAAUUGAGGAUGGUAAUGAUGGGCAGUAAUGCAUAGGGGAUGUCUUGAUGGUAAUGCAAAAUGGUAUUGCAUGCUGGUAAUGCAGGAUGAUAAGAGGUUUGUGGGAAAGUGGUAGCAGAGGUGCUGAGUGACAAACCCAACCAAGAGAGGCAGACAUGGGGGAGAUACUUCCCCUGCGGCUAACACCAACUCUAAUACAACUGCAGUUGUGGUUUAUUACGUUGGCACACAUUUCUAAUUAAAUAAAAAGUAAUUCAGUUAGAAACUAUUGGGCUGUUAUUACAUUUAUUGUUAUUCAAAAUGUGAUUUAUCAUCACUGGAUCAUUAUACCAUGAUGCCAGUAGAGUAAAUAAACGAUGUGUUUUAAUGAAGUGGGAUGAAUGGAGGAAGGGAGGAAUAGAUGGGUGGUCUUGUGGGUGGAUACCUGAAAUAAGACGUGUCUAAUGUCCUGGUUUUGACAUGAGCUUGUCUUAUGGUUAUAAGAUCGGAUCCCAUUCAGGUUGUAAUAUGCUUUUAACAAGGGUCUGAAUACCUGGGCACAGUCAGAAUGUGGACAAGAUGAGGACCAAGGCCUCAUGUUGAAGCCAAGCAUUAACUGGGCCAGAGAGAGGUAGGAGGAGGUCAGAGCUGCUUUGUUCUUAACUCCAAUCUGCUGUUGGAAAUCUCUACAACAGAUUGGAGGCGCAGCAAGGCUUAGCUAACGUCACCUGACAGUCACCUGACUGACUCGUACAAUACUAAAACAGCAUCCUGGUUCAGGUGACAGCCGGUGAUUCUCAAGCCGGUGAUUCCCAUUGUUAGGGUGAGGCCCCUCAACCUAACAAUGAAGAUGAGGCCCCUCCCCCCAUCAAUGAAGAUAAGGGCCCUCCCCCUACGAAUGAAAAUGAGGCCCCUCCUCCAGCCAAUGAAGACGGCACCCCCCGCCCCUACCAGCUGACAUCAGAGGGCCAUCCAUUAUUGUCGUUUUACAAUAAUUAAAUCUCAGUAACAAUUAAACAAUACAUUUGGGAGGUUUUUCAUAUUUUGCAAGUGUCAAGCCUCAAAAUCAAACUUAACAAAUGCACAUACAGCUCCGGAAAAAAUUAAGAGACCACCACACAUUUUUCUUUCCUUUCCAAAAAAGUAGAGAAGGAAGGUUUUGAAUGAGGAACAGAAGGAUUAAAAUUAAGAGACCACUGCAAAUUGAACGCUUCUGUUCCUAACUCAAAACUUUCAUUGGAAAGGAAAGAAAAAGGUGCAGUGAUCUCUUAAUUUUUUCUGGAGCUGUAUAAUUUGACACACCUAUGCAUUCUUUUACUUCUAAAUUUGCCAACUUAAAACAUAACACAGACCCUUAUGGGAUUUCCCUAUGCCCGUGGAGAUCGCAGGUCUAGCCAGCUGCUACACCAUCCUCAAUUUGUAUUCUCUCAGCUUAAAGACACUUGUUCAGAGGGAAUACGGCUGAAGGCCAAGGAAAAGAGGUCAAUGAGAUUUUACCAGAGAACAUCUCAGACAUGAGCACCCUCUCCUGGCCACCCACCAACACUGCACCUCAACUGCACUUCACCCAACUACACUGUUAGAGAACACAUCACCCAACUACACUGUUAGGGAACAUGUCACCCCGACUACACUGUUAGAGAACACAUCACCCAACUACACUGUUAGAGAACACAUCACCCAACUACACUGUUAGAGAACACAUCACCCAACUACACUGUUAGAGAACACAUCACCCAACUACACUGUUAGAGAACAUAUCACCCAACUACACUGUUAGAGAACACAUCACCCAACUACACUGUUAGAGAACACAUCACCCAACUACACUGUUAGAGAACA
ensembl:lncRNA